AGAGUUUGAUCCUGGCUCAGAACGAACGCUGGCGGCGUGGAUAAGACAUGCAAGUCGAACGGAUUUACGGGUGUAGCAAUACAUUCGUGAGUCAGUGGCGCAAGGGUGCGUAACACGUGGGCAACCUGCCCUGGAGUUGGGGAUAGCCCGCCGAAAGGCGGAUUAAUACCGAAUGUGGCUACCAGUUUAUGACUGGGACGCUAAAGUCGCUGCAAGGUGACGCUCUGGGAUGGGCCCGCGGCCUAUCAGCUAGUUGGUGAGGUAACGGCUCACCAAGGCGAUGACGGGUAGCUGGUCUGAGAGGACGACCAGCCACACUGGAACUGAGACACGGUCCAGACACCUACGGGUGGCAGCAGUCGAGAAUUUUUCUCAAUGGGGGAAACCCUGAAGGAGCGACGCCGCGUGGAGGAUGAAGGUUUUCGGAUUGUAAACUCCUGUCAUUGGUGAACAAGACGGCCCGUUAACUGCGGAGCCGUUCGAUAGUAGCCGAAGAGGAAGGGACGGCUAACUCUGUGCCAGCAGCCGCGGUAAUACAGAGGUCCCAAGCGUUGUUCGGAUUCAUUGGGCGUAAAGGGUGCGUAGGCGGUUGGGUAAGUCUGAUGUGAAAUCCCGGGGCUCAACCCUGGAACUGCAUUGGAUACUGCCUGACUAGAGAACUGGAGAGGAGACUGGAAUUUACGGUGUACAGUGAAAUGCGUAAGAUCGUAAGGAAGAACAUGGCGAAAGCGAGUCUCUGGACAGAUUCUUGACGCUGAGGGCACGAAGGCCCAGGGGAAGCAAACGGGAUAAGAUACCCCGGUAGUCCUGGCCAGUAAACGGUGCACGUUUUGGUUGUGGGAGGAAUCGACCCUUCCGUGCCGGAGCUAACGCGUUAAACGUCCCGCUGGGGGAGUACGGUCGCAAGAUUAAAACUCAAAGAAAUUGACGGGGGCCCGCACAAGCGGUGGAGUAUGUGGCUUAAUUCGAUGCAACGCGAAGAACCUUACCUAGGCUUGACAUGCAUCUCUAAGUCGGUGAAAGCCGGCGAGUACCGCAAGGUACAAUUUGCACAGGUGCUGCAUGGCUGUCGUCAGCUCGUGUCGUGAGAUGUUGGGUUAAGUCCCGCAACGAGCGCAACCCCUGUGACCUGUUGCCACCCUCCUUUGGAGGAGCACUCUGGUCAGACUGCCCCUGUGAAACGGGGAGGAAGGUGGGGAUGACGUCAAGUCAGCAUGGCCCUUACGCCUAGGGCUGCACACGUACUACAAUGCCCAGUACAGAAGGAACCGAGACCGCGAGGUGGAGGAAAUCAUAGAAAACUGGGCCCAAUUCGGAUCGCAGGCUGCAACUCGCCUGCGUGAAGCCGGAAUCGCUAGUAAUGGCGUAUCAGCUACGACGCCGUGAAUACGUUCCCGGGCCUUGUACACACCGCCCGUCACAUCAUGGGAGUCGUUUGUACCCGAAGUCGGCUUUAGUGUCGCCUAAGGUAUGAGCGGUAACUGGGAUGAAGUCGUCAACAAGGUAGCCCGUAGGGGAACCUGCGGCUGGAUCACCUCCUU
rnacentral:rRNA from 1 species